rnacentral:rRNA from 1 species
AGAGUUUGAUCCUGGCUCAGGACGAACGCUGGCGGCGUGCUUAACACAUGCAAGUCGAACGAAAAGAGGGGAAGAGCUUGCUCUUUCCGGAAUUGAGUGGCAAACGGGUGAGUAACACGUAAACAACCUGCCUUCAGGAUGGGGACAACAGACGGAAACGACUGCUAAUACCGAAUAAGUUCCAAGAGCCGCAUGGCCCAUGGAAGAAAAGGUGGCCUCUACCUGUAAGCUAUCGCCUGAAGAGGGGUUUGCGUCUGAUUAGCUGGUUGGAGGGGUAACGGCCCACCAAGGCGACGAUCAGUAGCCGGUCUGAGAGGAUGAACGGCCACACUGGAACUGAGACACGGUCCAGACUCCUACGGGAGGCAGCAGUGGGGAAUCUUCCGCAAUGGGCGAAAGCCUGACGGAGCAACGCCGCGUGAGUGAUGACGGCCUUCGGGUUGUAAAACUCUGUGAUCCGGGACGAAAAGGCAGAGUGCGAAGAACAAACUGCAUUGACGGUACCGGAAAAGCAAGCCACGGCUAACUACGUGCCAGCAGCCGCGGUAAUACGUAGGUGGCAAGCGUUGUCCGGAAUUAUUGGGCGUAAAGCGCGCGCAGGCGGCUUCCCAAGUCCCUCUUAAAAGUGCGGGGCUUAACCCCGUGAUGGGAAGGAAACUGGGAAGCUGGAGUAUCGGAGAGGAAAGUGGAAUUCCUAGUGUAGCGGUGAAAUGCGUAGAGAUUAGGAAGAACACCGGUGGCGAAGGCGACUUUCUGGACGAAAACUGACGCUGAGGCGCGAAAGCGUGGGGAGCAAACAGGAUUAGAUACCCUGGUAGUCCACGCCGUAAACG